UUAAUUGAAGCCAAAACAGAGGCAUCUUAUUGUUAAUAAGAUAAUUGACCUUAAUUCCAAUUAAA
rnacentral:tRNA from 1 species